rnacentral:tRNA from 1 species
GGGCAUAUGGCGAAAUUGGCAGACGCGCUAGCCUUAGGAGCUAGUGGAGCAAUCCGUGGGGGUUCAAGUCCCUCUAUGCCCA